rnacentral:misc_RNA from 1 species
UCCCGUUUAACACGGGCAGUCUCUCUAGAGUUCCCGACAUGACUCGCUGGCAACUAACAACAGGGGUUGCGCUCGUUAUAGGACUUAACCUGACACCUCACGGCACGAGCUGACGACAACCAUGCAGCACCUUGUAAAUUGUCUUGCGAAAGAUCUGUUUCCAAACCGGUUAAUCUACAUUUAAGCCUCGGUAAGGUUCCUCGCGUAUCAUCGAAUUAAACCACAUGCUCCACCGCUUGUGCGGGCCCCCGUCAAUUCCUUUGAGUUUCAAUCUUGCGAUCGUACUCCCCAGGUGGCUAACUUAUCACUUUCGCUUAGUCUCUGAAGCGCAAGGCCCCAAAAACGAGUUAGCAUCGUUUACGGCGUGGACUAC